rnacentral:rRNA from 1 species
AUACGGAGGGGGCAAGCGUUGUUCGGAAUUACUGGGCGUAAAGAGUACGUAGGCGGAUCGUUAAGUUAGAGGUGAAAUCCCAGGGCUCAACCCUGGAACUGCCUUUAAUACUGGCGAUCUAGAGAUCGAGAGAGGUGAGUGGAAUUUCCAGUGUAGAGGUGAAAUUCGUAGAUAUUGGAAAGAACACCAGUGGCGAAGGCGGCUCACUGGCUCGAUACUGACGCUGAGGUACGAAAGCGUGGGGAGCAAACAGAAUUAGAAACCCUAGUAGUCC